GCCGCAUCUUGUCUGCCGGAAAUGUCACCAGCCGUAGAAGAAGAACGAAGCUACGAUGAAAACAAAACGACUCUGAAAAAAACCUUCCAAUUGUAGCAACAGAGACUUUUUGCCUUACUGAAACACAUUUGGCUGAAAUUCAUGCUGACAUUACACUUUGAUUCGCUUAGACAAACCUGUUAGCUUACUAUAAUCCGCACCAACGUUUUUAGCUAACGAUAUAUGCUACCAAAAUAUUAGCUAGUUUAGCCACUAGCUAUCAUUAGCUUGCAACUAACUUAGCAAAUUGCAAAUUUCGACGCAGCUUCAGUUUCUGAGCUGUUUUGUGAAAGACUAGUUUCAUCAAAAAGACGAAACAUGUCGGAUGACUAUGAAUUUAGCGACGACGCGACCAUGAUGAGGAUGGAGGAGGACGGAGAGGCCAACAGCGACGACCCGAUGUCAGCGGCCGGGGACUGUGGCCUGAUGACGGGCGAGGCCGAGGGAUCCAGAAUCGAUGCCAGUAAAAACGAGGAGGAUGAGGGGAAGAUGUUUGUAGGGGGACUCAGCUGGGACACGACUAAGAAGGAUCUGAAAGAUUACUUCUCCAAGUUUGGGGAGGUUGUAGACUGCACACUAAAACUGGACCCCAUGACUGGACGUUCAAGAGGUUUUGGUUUUGUGCUCUUCAAAGAACCUGAAAGUGUUGAUAAGGUUGCCUCACAAAAGGAACAUAAACUCAAUGGGAAGGUCAUUGACCCCAAAAAAGCUAAGGCCAUGAAGAGCAAGGAGCCCGUGAAGAAGAUCUUUGUUGGCGGCCUCUCUCCAGACACUCCUGAAGAGAAAGUCAGAGAGUACUUUGGUGCCUUCGGAGAGGUGGAGUCAAUUGAACUUCCCAUGGAAAACAAAACAAACAAAAGAAGAGGUUUCUGCUUCAUCACGUUCAAAGAGGAGGAACCAGUAAAGAAAAUCAUGGAGAAAAAGUACCACAACAUUGGACUGAGCAAGUGUGAAAUCAAGGUGGCAAUGUCUAAAGAACAGUACCAGCAGCAGCAGUACUGGGGAGGCAGAGGUGGAUAUUUAUCCAGGUCUCGAGGAAGAGGUGGUGGUCCCAACCAAAAUUGGAACCAGGGUUAUGGAAACUAUUGGAAUCAAGGCUAUGGCAAUUAUGGUUACAAUAAUCAAGGAUAUGGAGGAUAUGGUGGCUAUGAUUACUCUGGUUACAACAACUAUUAUGGAUAUGGUGACUACGACAAUCAAUCUGGUGGAUAUGGCAAGUCGCCACGGCGUGGUGGUCACACCAACAGUUACAAGCCGUAUUGAUAGGGGAAGCCCUCGUCUUCAAGUAGCGGAGCUUCCUUGCAGGCCAUGAGCUGACUCCCAGAUACUCUCAGGGCCCGCUCAAUGCGGACCGGGUACGAGAAGCAUACGCUCUCGAAUGCUGCCAUUUGGUUUCAGAGUGAUGAAAGUCUGCAGUGCACUGGUGGAGC